rnacentral:lncRNA from 1 species
GAUAGAGAGGGACGGACCAAGCUCAGAAGGACCGGAGGCCAGUCACAGGCCACAGCCAGCGGGGGCUCGGCCGGCCCAGCGCCACCGCUCGAGUGCCUGCAGGAGCCCCCCGCACUCCUUCACCCGUCUCCUGGGUGUGGUGGGGUUACUGUGGCCCAAGGAGCCACGUUCUCUUAGAAUCUGAAGGAAUUCAGGACAGUCAGCUGAAGGCCAGAAGAGUUCUCGGAGUAGCUGGGCCGGGAACAUCGCCAGAGCUGGCAGUGACUUUGCAAACAUACCUAGAAUUGCUUCAGUCGGAGAAGUGACAGGCUCGAGGUGGGAACGACUCCCGGGCAAGGGUCACCCGGGUGGUUGUUUAUCUUACCUCAGCGUUACACACCAACACACACACGUGCAGGCACACGUAGACGCACAAACACGUAGACUCUCACACGCCCAGACACACAGAGACACUCACACACAAGCAGACAGACACCCCUGCACACUCACACAGGCACACAGACACAUAGACACACAGGUAUGUGGACACACACACAGGCACACAAACACCCCCAGUGGCCAUGGCAGGCGCUGUGGUUUAGCGGCCGCCCUCCUGGUGCAGGUGGCUCCUGUUUGUAUUAAGACUGCCAAACCCAAGCGAGUUUUCAAAGUACUCACGGUUAUAAUCUCCUCACUUCAGCAGUCUCUUGAGGGAGACUCUGAUAUUCCCGGUUUAUUUUUCAGAUGAAGAAAUAGGCUGGAGGAACCCCCUGAGAGGCAACGGACAAUAAAGUCCUUGAAAGCUGAAACAAUAUCUAUUCAUCCUGUAACCUCAGCACUGUGCCUGGGGCUCAGAGGAGUUCAAAUGUUGGGCCACUCACUCGUUUCCUGACUACCCAACGCACUGACUGACCCACUGACGGCUGAAAAUGCAAACACUGAACACACAUGGAAUGCGCUCGAGGAGGCCGACCGGAGGUGCACACGGCCUCCUGAUCCCUUUUAUACGUACCUUCUCCGCUCGGUCCUCACUCUUGCCGUCAACCUCCCAUUCAAAUUUGACAGGCAGGAAGAGGAAAACAUGGACUUCCAAAGCUCCCUUCAAAGAUGCGCGACCUUAAAAGGUGACAGAUCAGGACUCAGGGUGGAAUCUGACUUUGGCUACCAUCCAGGAGCUGCUGGGCGUGCCCCACUGGGUACGUCACGGUUUCUGGAGGCUGCAGAUGUGUUUGUGUUGGGAACAAAUGCGACUGUGGGUGGAGUCUGCGAGUGAAGUGUGGAUCACUUCUGGAUUGUGCUCUAGAGCCUGGAAAGUGGUCUAGAGCCCUGGGCCUGCUGCUAGAGUCUUUGUGGACCUGACUGCUCCGGAUCUCACUGGGGAAACAGAGGCAGCUAAGCAGCAGCAUCAAAUGCAAAGAAUUCUCUGUAACUGAACUGGAGCACUGACUGCUUAGCAAUGCAGGUGGCAUCAUCGUCUGGGCUGUGGAGAUAUCUGCCCCCAGCCUUGAAGUGAAGUACUGAGCGCUAGCUAAAGCGGUUGGGCGGCUCAGGAGGAGUUAAAACCAGCUCACAACGGGCGGCAGUGAGUUCCGAAAAUGAAGAUGUGGAAACAUUUCUCUUCUAGCAUUUUGAAUUCAGAACAAUCAGAGCAUUAUGGAUUUUACUCUGCUUUGCUGACCUUUCUCUAAUGUUCUAAUGCUUGAAAUGUUGAGAGGAUUAUAAAAAUGUUCACAAUGCGCUUUAAAAAAAAGUCUCUACAUAAAUAAAGAAAAAAACAAAGAUAAUAUUUCCCCCUUGCAGCUAGUUUUACCCUUCUGUUUUAGGGGAGAACUUAUUUCAAAGAGGGAUCUUUAAUGCAUACGUAAAGUUUUUUAAAAAGCUAAAGAAUUUUCUUUUAAAUGUAAAAUUAAAAUUAAGUUCAACGAUCU